rnacentral:rRNA from 1 species
GGGGAACAACAGCUGGAAACGGCUGCUAAUACCCCAUAGGCUGGGGAAAAAAGGAGGAAUCCGCCUCGGAGGGGCUCGCGUCUGAUUAGUUAGUUGGUGAGGCAAUGGCUUACCAAGGCGACGAUCAGUAGCUGGUCCGAGAGGAUGAUCAGCCACACUGGGACUGAGACACGGCCCAAACUCUUACGGGAGGCAGCAGUGGGGAAUUUUCCGCAAUGGGCGAAAGCCUGACGGAGCAAUGCCGUGUGAAGGCAGAAGGCCUACGGGGCAUGAACUUCUUUUCUCGGAGAAGAAAAAAUGACGGUAUCUGAGGAAUAAGCAUCGGCUAACUCUGUGCCUUCAGCCGCGGUAAGACAGAGGAUGCAAGCGUUUUCCGGAAUGAUUGGGCGUAAAGCGUCUGAGGUGGCUUUUCAAGUCCGCCGUCAAAUCCCAGGGCUCAACCCUGGACAGGCGGUGGAAACUACCAAGCUGGAGUACGGUAGGGGCAGAGGGAAUUUCC